AUGGUCUUCUACGAAUAGAAGACCUAUAGAGGUUCUUCUAUAUAUAGAAGACUUAUAUAUAAGGUCUACUAUGUAUAGAAGACCUAUAUAUAGAUGGUCUUUUACGAAUAGAAGACCUAUAGAG